GACGAAGGAUCCAAGCGUUAUCCGGAUUCAUUGGGUUUAAAGGGUGCGUAGGCGGCCCGGUAAGUCAGUGGUGAAAUCUCCUUGCUUAACAAGGAAACUGCCAUUGAUACUGCUGGGCUUGAGUACAGAUGCUGUGGGCGGAAUAUGACAUGUAGUGGUGAAAUACAUAGAGAUGUCAUAGAACACCGAUUGCGAAGGUAGCUCACAAAACUGUAACUGACGCUGAGGCACGAAAGUGCGGGGAUCAAACAGG
rnacentral:rRNA from 1 species